ACCUGAGGACGGCGAGACGAGACAUCGUCAGAAACAAAAAUCGGAAAUAUCGACGGCUUCCCUGCCGGCCCGGCGCUCCGAGGGCGACGAGGCCGACGGGCGAUUCAGGCCGAAGCCACGGCGGAAUUACUGAGCCACUACGAAGGCUGAUUGAGGGUAAUAAAGUGGUAACGACAAUCGGAGGUGCAUAAAGGAGACACUAAACAAACAGUGACAACAUGAAGCAGCCAACACAGCUCCGGAUCAGGACGCGAUCAUCGUGUACUAAACGGUCUCCUAAAAGCCUUAUCUCCGUUUAUAUCACUAGAAUCACAAAAACAACCCAGCGUUUUAAACCACAUUGUGGAGACAAAAAAAAAAAGCAAGUCUUCCAAAACCGCUACAGCGUCGCAGUAUUUGUUCAACCAACAACAUGAUCUAGUCUUUUGGAAUCAGUGACUGGAAACGAUGAAAGGCUCGUUAAAAUCCUUCGUUGUUUCAGGAAUCUGCGUAAGAAGUUAUUAGGAAAUCACAACCCGAUGUGAUCAAAAACUUUCAGGCAUGAAAUCACGCGAGGGAGCGACUGAAAAAAGGGAAAAUGAGGAAACUCUCACAGAGAACAGAGGGCGGCGACAGCAACGUGUACUUCCUUUGGCCUUAUCUCACCGAAUACCUGUGUGUUUACACCCAGGCGGCUGCAGACACGCAGGGCCAGAAAGACCAGUCCACCGACAAAAGGGACACUUCAAAACAGCAGACGGUGCUUUGCCCUGCAGGGUUCCUCCUUCACUAGUUGGAGCUUCUUGUAUUUCACCGGUAAUCCCACAUCCUGCACCUUCACAGCUUCACCCCCGUAUGUGCUAAACGAGGUUAAGACAAAAUGACGUAAGACUGCAUUGGAGAACUCACAAACGUACCAAAGGAGAUGUUAAAGUACAACAAAACAGCUGCAGCUUUAAGUAGAAGUAAAUGUAUUAGAAAGCGCAACGCGUUAACUUCUCCAUUAAGACGAGUUGUCACCUUCGAGACAAGGUUAGCGUCUCAUCACAGAUCUUCACCUCAUGACCUACACACACACACACCUCUUGAUUAGCAGAGCUUCACACAUUUCCUCACUUGUUUGACGUUUUGGAGAAGCUACGAGGCUAACGGAGCUAAUUCAGUAGCACCUAGCUUAGCCGGCUAACGGACUCUCUGAUGCCACUUUUGGCACAGUGAAGUUAAGAGGCCAGAUCUGAAAAAACGCCCCGACCCGGAUUCGUUUGACAGGACGCGAACAGCUACGUUCGCUUUGACUAGACGGAACGUAGUUGAACUGUGAGGCCGAGACACUUCGCUGAGAGGGUGUAACGACAGGUAGCUUAGCUUAGCUUGGUUAGCCUGUGGGGGAAAGCCAAGCUACUUGAUGAGCGUUGUUACCAGUUAACGUCCAAUUGGUGCAAUGACACGUCGACGCGUGGUGUGUAUUUCUGUUACUAAACGGCCGCCGCAGGUGUGUAAAGGCCCGCAAAGGCCACAGCGUCACAUAAGUUACGAGCAAAGCCAAGUCCACCACUUCGGGCUAACUACGCACCGAGCUAACGGCUAACGGCUAACAGCUAACGCCAACGACAACAACAGGCAUCUUCUCCUGAACGUCCGGCUAGCUUUAGCUUUAGCCGAUCCCCAUCAUCCGUCCCGGGGGUUUUGGCAGCAGGUGUCCCGGAUCCCCAAAGGAAGCCGGCCAGUUUGGUGACGGAGACGCCGCCUUUGAUCCACAGCGUGUCGAUGUCGCCGAGCGACGUCAGCCGGUGGUGGAAGUCGAACAGCUUCUGCCCGUCCACGAACACACGGAACCGACUUUGUUCACAGUGAAUCUCAAUCUGGGAGAAGAGGAGAGACCCAUUUGACAUUUAACGUGACACCCGAGAGGACUCGUCAGACGUCUUCCCCUCAGGUAAACUAAAGCGUCACAUCACAGCAUCAAGCUGUGGGAUUCAGAUGUUAACGUGUUGGGAGAACAAAAUGUUAAUGAGAUCAAAAAAUGGAGACUUGGACAUCGACAACAUACAGUUCAAUUAUUGUUCAAUACACAAAGAUUUUCUGGUUUUAUACGAGCAAAAUAUUGAAUUGAAGAGUUUUUUUUAACAGUUUAUGUGGAAUAAUAAUGGGUGAUCACACGGAGUGGAGGCGUGCUGAAGUAACCGAUAAUACGUUUGUAACACGGCUGGCGCCUCUCUGGGACGCCGAAGAGGCUGUUGGUACCUUGAACGGCUGGCCGGCGAUGAAGGGGAAGAACGGCGCGGCUCGGUCGGCGUCCCCCCAGCAGCCGGCCACGCAGGCCCUGCGCAGGACCUGCCGGUCCCGGAACCGGACGCAGAGCUCCAGGGCCACGUCGGGGGGAGGCUCCGCGGAUCCAAUGCCGCAUGUCAGGGCCACGUGGAACCUAAAGGACGAGAACCGGACGUGACAUCGGCGUCGCUCAGAUGCUUCUUCAAUUAUGUCAAUAAGCUGAGUUUGACAUUUGGCUUUGUGUGAUGAUUGAGUUGUGAGGGAAAGUUGCAUGGAUGUAUUUUACCUGUCAGGACACGAGUCGACAACACCAACCACGACCACCUUCUUACCUGGACGCAUCCCACCAGGGAUGUGACCUCUGAAAGGAACCGCCUGAACACACACACACACACGCACAUUUGCAUGAAAAUACAUGGAUCUAACAAAGAUGUGAUUUCACAAUGGAAGUAAAAUUAAGUGGAGAUCAUUAGCAACAUUUACAUACAAUUUUAAAAAGAUUAACACAGUAUGUUCUGUAUACUUUUCAAUAUACCGGGUUCAGGGAAAAAUAAUUGCGUUUGAAUAUUUUGAGACGAGUGGCUACCAGAUUUCUCUCAGGAGGACGAACACUUGGUUUAUCUUCAUCACUUCUCUGUGGAACGACCCACUUCUGAAAGGAAAAGCAACAACACGUGUAUUAGCUGGUGUUUGUGCCGAAGUGGAAAGGCCGGGGGGGUCAACAAAAUCAUUAGGAUUCAUCCAGGGAAAGAACAUCUAGCGUUCUAACCAGGGUGUACGAUGCACAUAUAAAAAAAUAAAAAUAAAUGCAGCGCCUCUAAA